UGGCAUUAUUUUAAUCCUCUAAUUGCCACCUGGCAUUUGCUUAAACCAUUACUCUUCUUUUUGAGCGGCAAUUUGUUUACAAGAGGCUUCUCAAACACGCAUUAUUCAAAAACCCUAAUUAUCAUCUUCUUCAAUUCUCUGGCGAUUUCAUACUUCUUCAAUUGUCUCAAACACAAAAACUCUAAUCCAGCCCUUACGCCAGGAAAGGCGGGCCGUCAAACUGCAGACCUAAUACAAGUAGGCCAAAAGAGGGAAGGAUAAUAUGGUAAUAGCUGCCAAUGCCAUUAAAUGUGUUCAAAUGUUUGACAUCUGUGCUAAGGGUAGAUAUAACAUAUGGAGAAGAGAAUAUGAAGGUCCAAAUUUAGAUUCUACUAUGAAACUUAUGUGUGUCCAAAUCAUAAUGGCAAAAGCCUAUGUAAGUAUUUUGAAUGCCAAAAAUGAAAGUGGUAUCAAUGAUUCUCUACUUAAAACACUCUAAAAGAAGUCAGCAAGCAAUUGAAAGGCUACUUUUGAUUGUCAACUUGGGCCAAGGGUGGUGCGAAGAAGUUGGUGAUCUCAGCUCCAUAAGCCGAUUCACUUAUGUUUGUCGUAGGAGUAAAGUAAAGACGAGUCUUGAUCUCCUGAAGUGAUUAGUUUGCCAUUAAAAAUAGUUUUUUGUUUGCCUUUCACAAAUAUUCAUAUCCAGCCCUCCCUCCCCCCCCCCCAAUUGAAUUAGAUGACUUUAGCAUGUCAUAAGUAGGAAGGUCAAAAUGACCGUUGUAGAAUCACUUUUGAUUCUCCACUUUUUCUUGCAGUAAAGGAACAACUGCAGCUAUCACAUGUUAAGAUGGUUCAAAAUUUAGCUUAUUUAGAACUAAGCGCCCACUUAAUAUUCUCAAGGUAGACCAAAAUUUGUUUUAAAUUAUCAAAACACGUUGCUUUCAACUUAAAAGUGUUUUAAUCAUGUAAUGUACUCUUUUGACCUUAUUGGGUUUGUACCGGUUAGGGUCGUAUAUUUUAUGUUUGGGACAUGUUUCAACCCUUGAUCGUUAAUGGCCGACGGUAGUUGCGUUGGUGGCCAACUUCUGUGCAGCGACAAUAUAAGUUCUAUUUUACAACUGAUGACUACAGGUUACUCAUCCCAGCAAAGAUAACUGUCGUUAGGAGGUUCAGGAUGGUUCAGGUUUAAUCAAGAAGCGCUAUCUUCUGAUGGAUAAAAACAAGAUUACUUGCAGUGUACAUGAAAGCGAAGAAAAAUGGGCAUGUCCAUCACAUGUAAGACAAAGAUAUAUGGUCUGUUAUUUGAAAAAAACAUACACAAUAAGAUGCCAAAACAAACAGGUAUCAUGUAGUUGUCAACAUUGGCUGAUGGUACAGAAGUGCAACAACCCUGUUCGACUCUAUAAGAACAAUACUCAGAAGACCUGGUCAUUAAGUACCUUAGGUAGUUGUACCGCUGUAUGGUGAUUAUAGUUAACUUCAACAUACAAGAGUUAGGAGACGUUAUAAAGUUGGUUGGGAGGAGACGUGAAGCACCUUUAAACAUACGUUGAUGGUGUAUGUUUCGUUUUUAUCAGAUGUCACAUGUUUAACAACUUGGGGAAUAAUAUAUACGGAGGGAAUCGUGAGGAUAUUCUACGACGCAUGGUUUUAUUCUGCAAAGCAGCCGUUGAGGUUCCUUGGUACGUGCCAUGCGGGGACGUAUGCUAUGGAGACGGAAAUUUGGUUUUCAUUGCAAACGAUUGGCAUACCACAUUUUUGCCAGUUUAUUUAAAGGCAUAUUAUCAUGACAACGGCUUGAUGCAAUACACAAGAUCCGUGCUUGUGAUCCAUAACACAGCUCACCAGGGGUGUGGUCCGGUUGAUGAUUUCAGUCACGUGGAUCUACCACCACACUAUUUGGAUCUUUUCAGAUUGUAUGAUCCUGUAGGAGGUGAGCACUUCAACAUCUUCGCUGCGGGUCUCAAAACAGCCGAUCAUGUAGUAACAGUGAGUCAGGGAUACACGUGGGAACUAAAGACCAGCGAGGGCGGUUGGGGUCUACACAACAUAAUUAACCAAAACAAUUGGAAACUAAGAGGUCGAGUUUUAUGAAGUCUAAAUGAAAAGAGAAGACCCAUUCAUUCCAUGGUUUAGCUGCAUCUCACAAACUCUUAUGUUACUACUGUUGUCUUCUAUUUUUAAGGUUAAGCUACAAAGCAUUGGUAUAAGGGCGAACGUAAUAGCAAAAUAGUACUCUUAACACUUGGUGGGGAAUAAAGGUAAUUUUGAGCCUGGGAUCGUCAUUGGAGAGCAAGUACAAGGAUUGGUUUAUAUUGUCUUCUAGAUCGAUUUAUGGGAUUGUAUACACGUCUUUUGAAAAAUAUUAUGUAAAUAAGUAUUACGUUCUAUUUUUUUAUUUCGCACUGUAUUAUUUGUUCAACACCGCGAAAUUCGCGGGUAUUAGAAUUGAAUACGGAUUUCAUUAA